CCUACGGGUGGCUGCAGUGAGGAAUAUUGGUCAAUGGACGAGAGUCUGAACCAGCCAAGUAGCGUGAAGGAUGACUGCCAUAUGGGUUGUAAACUUCUUUUAUAUGGGAAAAAAAUGUUCCACGUGUGGGAUUUUGUAUGUACGAUAUGAAGAAGGAUCGGCUAACUCCGUGCCAGCAGCCGCGGUAAUACGGAGGAUCCGAGCGUUAUCCGGUUUUAUUGGGUUUAAAGGGAGCGUAGGUGGAUUGUUAAGUCAGUUGUGAAAGUUUGCGGCUCAACCGUAAAAUUGCAGUUAAAACUGGCAGUCUUGAGUACAGUAGAGGUUGGCGGAAUUCGUGGUGUAGCGGUGAAAUGCUUAGAUAUCACGAAGAACUCCGAUUGCGAAGGCAGUUCACUGGACUGCAACUGACACUGAGGCUCGAAAGUGUGGGUAUCAAACAGGAUUAGAUACCCGAGUAGUC
rnacentral:rRNA from 1 species